rnacentral:misc_RNA from 1 species
UCCGGCUUUCACCGGCUGUCUCUCUAGAGUGCCCAGCAUAACCUGCUGGCAACUAAAGAUAAGGGUUGCGCUCGUUGCGGGACUGAACCCAACAUCUCACGACACGAGCUGACGACAACCAUGCACCACCUGUCACCUCUGUCUCCGAAGAGCCAUGAUGAUCUCUCACCAUUUCAGAGGGAUGUCAAGCCUUGGUAAGGUUCUUCGCGUUGCUUCGAAUUAAACCACAUGCUCCACCGCUUGUGCGGGCCCCCGUCAAUUCCUUUGAGUUUCAGCCUUGCGGCCGUACUCCCCAGGCGGAGUGCUUAUUGGGUUUCCUUCGGCACUGAGGGUGAGACCCCCCAACACCUAGCACUCAUCGUUUACGGCGUGGACUAC